rnacentral:rRNA from 1 species
GACGAACGCUGGCGGCGUGCUUAACACAUGCAAGUCGAACGGAAAGGCCCUGCUUUUGUGGGGUGCUCGAGUGGCGAACGGGUGAGUAACACGUGAGUAACCUGCCCUUGACUUUGGGAUAACUUCAGGAAGCUGGGGCUAAUACCGGAUAGGAGCUCCUGCUGCAUGGUGGGGGUUGGAAAGUUUCGGCGGUUGGGGAUGGACUCGCGGCUUAUCAGCUUGUUGGUGGGGUAGUGGCUUACCAAGGCUUUGACGGGUAGCCGGCCUGAGAGGGUGACCGGCCACAUUGGGACUGAGAUACGGCCCAGACUCCUACGGGAGGCAGCAGUGGGGAAUAUUGCACAAUGGGCGGAAGCCUGAUGCAGCAACGCCGCGUGCGGGAUGACGGCCUUCGGGUUGUAAACCGCUUUCGCCUGUGACGAAGCGUGAGUGACGGUAAUGGGGAAAGAAGCACCGGCUAACUACGUGC